AGAGAGAGAGAGAGAGAGAGAGAGAGAGAGAGAGAGAGAGAGAGAGGGCGGGGGAAGCAAAAUCCAAGUGUCUUGCCGCCAUUUUUAUGUCUAAAGUUUGUGGAUUUCAGGAAGAGAAGAAAGAGGAGAAGUACCGCAACUAUUAAAACCAGACUCAUUUUCCUUUCCUCCUCCUCCUCCUACUACUACUACUACUACUACUAUUACUACUACUACUAAUACAACCACCACCACCACCACCAUCACCACCACCACCACCAUAAUCACCACCACUACCACCGCUAAUACUACUACUACUACUACCACCUUCACUUCCUAUGACUAUUUACUGUCUCGUUUUUUCCUACUAUAUUAUUAUAACCUACACUUCCUCCUCCUCUUCCUCCUCCUCCUCCUCCUCCUCCUAUUUUCCUUCCUUCACUGUUAUUAUUAUCAUUAGUCGAUCAGUAUAAUAAGUUUCCUAAGAUCAUAUGACGUUUCUUAAUAAUGUUUUUUUUUUUCUUCUUCUUUUGAUGCAUUAAGGAAACAAUGUGUCGUCUCGUUCACUGUUCUGGAACUCAUUCAUAACCUGUUAGAAACUUCUUUUAAUUCCGAAUCACUUUACUUAUCGUACUCUUAUAUUUUGGGAGUUCAUCUUACAUACGUAUAAUAUUUUAGUCAGAGAGAGAGAGAGAGAGAGAGAGAGAGAGAGAGAGAGACCUACAAUCAUUCAAACACUCGUUAAUUACAAACUUAAAAAACAUCGAUAUUUUUAAUGAAAUAACUUUACUUACACAAGCCAGCAAACAUACGAACGCACACAAAUUAAUACCAGUGAUAGAAAAAGAAUUUAUAUAGCAACGUAUUCUGAAACGCUUCAUUUGUUCUCUCACCAUAUUUUUUUUUUUUUUUUUUUUCAAAUGCCACAGAGAUGAUUAGCCGGGUUUUCAAUUGCGUUUCUCCUGUUAAUAAUAUAGAAAUCGUGUUAAUGUCACUAGAACCAUUAAAACAUCUUUGAAAACCUGUGCAACUUCAUUUAGAGUCUUAUCAGUUUAGUGGAGGUGCGGCGCAGAAGUGUUUCAGAAUAGGGAUCAUUGUCUCGUAUUCCUCCAGCCUGGUGUCCCCGCUCGGCUCUUUUCACGACUCGCAACGAGGGAGAAAGGUCGAAGUGCGGUGGUCUCGUGGCGGAGGGCUGAAGGAGGCGGUGAAGGAGUGAAGGUGUGAAGUGUGCAGCUUCCACUUCAUCAUCCCAUGAACAGCCCACAGGAAUCUCUACCAGCACCUGGUUAUUAAACAGUGUUGUCACGCCAGGCCCAAUGUACUCCAUUGCAAUCAGGGAGUCAAGCUUCACCAGGAAAAGAGGCAGAGCAUCACCACCUUCAAGCCCCACAAGAGGUAUUAAGUAUCGUUGGGACAAAGCAAUCAGGGAAGAGUCAAGUUGCAGUAAGAAGAGUGUGUCAAGAAUUUCAAGCAGGAAGAACACGUAAAAUUCCCUUCAAGUCAUGGCGGGACCGACAGGCAACCUUCAACACUUGUGGAGGCACGAGAGCUGCAGGCAGUUUCACAAAGAAGAGGUUGCUCAAGGUCACUCAAGUUGAUGCAAGGACACAAGAAUUGGCAAGUGUUGUUGCUCCCAGGCCCUGCUGCAAGAGUUCUCCAGUCCACUCCAGUCUGGGAAGGAAGAAUAUAGCAAGUCCCUCUCUUCUGUACUCAACAACCACCACCACCACCUUCAUUCAGGCUUGGGAUAAGUUUUGUACAUUCCAGCACUUCAGUAAUAAGGAAAAAAAGUGCCAUGUUUAUAUUAUUGUUGUGUAUUUAUUCACUUAACAUUCACAUUAAAACAAUAAACAUUCAGUAUACCAUCUUGAACAUAA